UACAGAGACCUCAAGCGUUAUCCGGAAUCAUUGGGCGUAAAGCGUACCGAUAUGUUGUUUACAAAGUCAGCGGUGAAAUCUCCGAGCUCAACUCGGAAUCUGUCCUUUGAAACUUGUAGACUAGAGGGGCAAAGAGGAAGCUGGAACAAACGGUGUAGUAGUGAAAUGCGUUGAUAUCGUUUGGAACACCAAUAGCGUAGGCAGGCUUCUGGGUGCCACCUGACACUGCUAGGACGAAAGCGUGGGGAGCGAAUGGG
rnacentral:rRNA from 1 species